rnacentral:tRNA from 1 species
UCUGAUUUAACAUAUAACUAAUGUACUGGAUUGUAAAUCCAUAUAAAGCAACUGCUAAUCAGGA